UGGCUUGGAUUGUGGGAUGUUGCCGGCUUUUAUAAAAGUAGGCUCUCCUUAAAUGCAUAAGUGGUAUUCAGAAAAGCUACGUGUUGGGUGUUAUAAAUUGAUAAAUACACCUUUUUAGCGAUUCUACUAUACUGCUUCCAACCCUAUUUUAUUUUGAUGAUUUUGACCUCAAAUCAGGUAGGACUACCCGCUGAACUUAA
rnacentral:misc_RNA from 1 species